rnacentral:rRNA from 1 species
UUGGAAGUAAAAAGUCGUAACAAGGUCUCCGUUGGUGAACCAGCGGAGGGAUCAUUACUGAGUUUACGCUCUACAACCCUUUGUGAACAUACCUAUAACUGUUGCUUCGGCGGGUAGGGUCUCCGCGACCCUCCCGGCCUCCCGCCUCCGGGCGGGUCGGCGCCCGCCGGAGGAUAACCAAACUCUGAUUUAACGACGUUUCUUCUGAGUGGUACAAGCAAAUAAUCAAAACUUUUAACAACGGAUCUCUUGGUUCUGGCAUCGAUGAAGAACGCAGCGAAAUGCGAUAAGUAAUGUGAAUUGCAGAAUUCAGUGAAUCAUCGAAUCUUUGAACGCACAUUGCGCCCGCCAGCAUUCUGGCGGGCAUGCCUGUUCGAGCGUCAUUUCAACCCUCAAGCUCUGCUUGGUGUUGGGGCCCUACAGCCGAUGUAGGCCCUCAAAGGUAGUGGCGGACCCUCCCGGAGCCUCCUUUGCGUAGUAACUUUACGUCUCGCACUGGGAUCCGGAGGGACUCUUGCCGUAAAACCCCCCAAUUUUCCAAAGGUUGACCUCGGAUCA